GCCCUCGUGGGCCAGUGGUUAGGCCGCAGCUCUCCGGCAUUCUCGUCAGGAAAGGCUGAAGACCCGGGUUCGAGUAUGCGUGGGCG